rnacentral:tRNA from 1 species
GCGGCAGUGGUCUAACGGUAUGAUCAAAGCUUCCCAAGCUUUUGGACCGGGUUCAAUUCCCGGCUGCCGCA